AGAUUGAUACAUACACCAAGGAACUUGGGGAAAUACAAAAGCAGUCCAAGGAAGAGUAUUUGGCUUCCCUACGGCACCAAAGCAGUGGAUUUUCCAGGGGCGUUUCUAAGUACCGUGGUGUGGCAAGAUUGAUACAUACACCAAGGAACUUGGGGAAAUGCAAAAGCAGUCCAAGCAAGAGUAUUUGGCUUCCUUACGGCGCCAAAGCAGCGGAUUUUCCAGCGGUGUUUCUAAGUACCGUGGUGUGGCAAGGGAGAUUCCCAUGCCUUCCGGGGGUAUGGGAACAUUGCCUCCAAAGACUGGUACAUGGAGCUACCCGAUGCAGUCCGUCACAUCGUGGACCAGGCCGGGUUUGGCGCAUUCUGCAGGGGACUCUCGCGCCUCACUGCGAGCAGACCUCAUGUUUCUGCUAGGGACGACCAUUUUCGCCGACCGAGCGAACACCGUGCCCCUCUGUCUGCUCAGCGCCCUUGUCACCAGGAUCUUGUGCUACGACUGGGGUGGCACUGCCUUGGCCACUCUAUAUGGAUAUAUGAGCUCAGCCUCCCGUUGCAGCGGACAGUUGCUCGGGGGCUACUGGCGAGCU